CCUACGGGAUGCAGCAGUGAGGAAUAUUGGUCAAUGGCCGAGAGUCUGAACCAGCCAAGUCGCGUGAAGGAUGACUGCCCUAUGGGUUGUAAACUUCUUUUAUAAAGGAAUAAAACGAGCCACGUGUGCCUUUUUGCAUGUACUUUAUGAAUAAGCAUCGGCUAACUCCGUGCCAGCAGCCGCGGUAAUACGGAGGAUCCGAGCGUUAUCCGGAUUUAUUGGGUUUAAAGGGAGCGUAGAUGGGUUGUUAAGUCAGUUGUUAAAGUUUGUGGCUCAACCGUAAAAUUGCAAUUGAUACUGGCAGUCUUGAGUACAGUUGAGGUAGGCGGAAUGCGUGGUGUAGCGGUGAAAUGCUUAGAUAUCACGAAGAACCCCGAUUGCGAAGGCAGCUUACUAAACUGUGACUGACAUUGAUGCUCGAAAGUGUGGGUAUCAAACAGGAUUAGAUACCCCGGUAGUC
rnacentral:rRNA from 1 species